ACCCGGGUAUUAGGUUUUGGGGCUAGGGUUAGGUUUAAGGUUUUUGGCGUUAGGGUUAAAAUAACUGUCCAAAACCUUUGUAGGAACUAUUUUCCAACCUUUGGGAAUAAGUUAGACAAAAAAAAAGAUAAAUGAAAAAAAAAAUAUUUGGGGUGUACGGGCUUCCUGAAGGAAAUAUUAGGUUUUGGGGCUAGGGUUAGGUUUAAGGUUUUUGGUGUUAGGGUUAAAAUGACUGUCCAAUAUUUUUUAAGGAACAUCUUUCAGACCUUUGGGAGUUAGUUAGAAAAAAAAAAAAGAGUUUUUUUUAAGGUUUUUGGCGUUAGGGUUAAAAUCAAUGUCCAAAACCUUUGUAGGAACUCUUUUCCAACCUUUGGGAAUAAGUUAGACAAAAAAAAUAAGAUAAAUGAAAAAAAAAUAUUUGGGGUGUUCGGGCUUCCUGAAGGUAAUACCCGGGUAUUAGGUUAUGGGGCUAGGGUUAGGUUUAAGGUUUUUGGCGUUAGGGUUAAAAUAACUGUCCAAUAUUUUUUAAGGAACAUGUUUCAGACCUUUGGGAGUUAGUUAGACAAAAAAAAAAAAUAUAUUUGGGGUGUUCGGGUUUCCUGAAGGUAAUAUUAGGUAGGUAUUAGGUUAUGGGGCUAGGGUAAGGUUUAAGGUUUUUGGCGUUAGAGUUAAAAUCAGUGUCCAAAACCUUUUUAGGAACAUGUUUAAGACCUUUUGGAGUUGGUUACACCCAAAAAAAAUGUAAAAUGAAAAAAAAAAUAUUUGGGGUGUUCGGGCUUCCUGAAGGUAAUACCCGGGUAUUAGGCUUUGGGGCUAGGGUAAGGUUUAAGGUUUUUUGCGUUAGGGUUAAAAUCACUGUCCAAAACAUUUGUAGGAACUAUUUUCCAACCUUUUGAAGUUAGUUAGACCAAAAAAAAACGAAAAAUGAAAAAAAAUAUUUGGGGUGUUAGGGCUUCCUGAAGGUAAUACCCAUGUAUUAGGUUAUGGGGCUAGGGUAAGGUUUAAGGUUUUUGGCGUUAGGGUUAAAAUCACUGUCCAAAACCUUUUUAGGAACAUGUUUCAGACUUUUUGGAGUUGGUUACACCAAAAAAAAUGUAAAAUGAAAAGAAAAUAUUUGGGGUGUUCAAGCUUCCUGAAGGUAAUACCCGGGUAUUAGGUUAUGGGGCUAUAGUAAGGUUUAAGGUUUUUGGCGUUAGGGUUAAAAUCACUGUCCAAAACCUUUGUAGGAACUAUUUUCCAACCUUUUGGAGUUCGUUAGACCAAAAAAGAAACGAAAAAUGAAAAAAAAAAUUUGGGGUUUUCGGGCUUACUGAAGGUAAUACCCGGGUAUUAGGUUUUGGGGCUAGGGUUAGGUUUAAGGUUUUUGGCGUUAGGGUUAAAAUCACUGUCCAAUAUUUUUAAGGAACAUGUUUCAGACCUUUUGGAGUUAGUUAGAUAAAAAAAAAACGAAAAAUGAAAAAAAAUAUUUGGGGUGUUCGGGCUUCCUGAAGGUAAUACUAGGUUUCUGGGCUAGGGUAAUGUUUUAGGUUUUUGGCGUUAGGGUUAAAAUCAAUGUCAAAAACCUUUGUAGGAACUCUUUUCCAACCUUUGAGAGCAAGUUAGACCAAAACAAAAAGAAAAAUAAAAAAUAUAUAUUUGGGGUGUUCGGGCUUCCUGAAGGUAAUAGGUUAUGGGGCUAGGGUAAGGUUUAAGGUUUUUCGGCGUUAGGGUAAAAAUCACUGUCCAAAACCUUUGUAGGAACUCUUUUCCAACCUUUGGGAAUAAGUUAGACAAAAAAAAUAAGAUAAAUGAAAAAAAAAUAUUUGGGGUGUUCGGGCUUCCUGAAGGUAAUACGGGUAUUAGGUUUCGGGGCUAGGGUUAGGUUUAAGGUUUUUGGCGUUAGGGUUAAAAUAACUGUCCAAUAUUUUUCAAGGAACAUGUUUCAGACCUUUGGGAGUUAGUUAGACAAAAAAAAAAGAAAAAGAAAAAAAAUAUAUAUUUGGGGUGUUUGGGUUUCCUGAAGGUAAUACCCGGGUAUUAGGUUAUGGGGCUAGGGUAAGGUUUAAGGUUUUUGGCGUCAGAGUUAAAAUCAGUGUCCAAAACCUUUUUAGGAACAUGUUUAAGACCUUUUAGAGUUGGUUACACCAAAAAAAAUGUAAAAUGAAAAAAAAAAUAUUUGGGGUGUUCGGGCUUCCUGAAGGUAAUACCCGGGUAUUAGGCUUUGGGGCUAGGGUAAGGUUUAAGGUUUUUGGUGUUAGGGUUAAAAUCACUGUCCAAAACCUUUGUAGGAACUCUUUUCCAACCUUUUGGAGUUAGUUAGACCAAAAAAAAAGAAAAAAGAAAAGAAUAUAUUUGGGGUCUUCGGGCUUCCUGAAGGAAAUACCCAGGUAUUAGGUUAUGGGGCUAGGGUAAGGUUUAAGGUUUUUGGCGUUAGGGUUAAAAUCACUGUCCAAAACCUUUGUAGGAAUGCUUUUCCGACCUUUUGGAGUUAAUUAGACCAAAAAAAAAAAAAAUGAAAAAAAUAUAUUUGGGGUCUUCGGGCUUCCUGAAGGAAAUACCCAGGUAUUAGGUUAUGGGGCUAGGGAAAGGUUUAAGGUUUUUGGCGUUAGGGUUAAAAUCACUGUCCAAAACCUUUUUAGGAACAUGUUUCAGACCUUUUGGAGUUGGUAACACCAAAAAAAAUGUAAAAUGAAAAAAAAAUAUUUGUGGUGUUCAAGCUUGCCGAAGGUAAUACCCGGGUAUUAGGUUAUGGGGCUAGGGUAAGGUUUAAGGUUUUUGGCGUCAGAGUUAAAAUCAGUGUCCAAAACCUUUUUAGGAACAUGUUUAAGACCUUUUAGAGUUGGUUACACCAAAAAAAAUGUAAAAUGAAAAAAAAUAUAUUUGGGGUGUUCGGGCUUCCUGAAGGUAAUACCCGGGUAUUAGGCUUUGGGGCUAGGGUAAGGUUUAAGGUUUUUGGUGUUAGGGUUAAAAUCACUGUCCAAAACCUUUGUAGGAACUCUUUUCCAACCUUUUGGAGUUAGUUAGACCAAAAAAAAAGAAAAAAGAAAAGAAUAUAUUUGGGGUCUUCGGGCUUCCUGAAGGAAAUACCCAGGUAUUAGGUUAUGGGGCUAGGGUAAGGUUUAAGGUUUUUGGCGUUAGGGUUAAAAUCACCGUCCAAAACCUUUGUAGGAAUGCUUUUCCGACCUUUUGGAGUUAAUUAGACCAAAAAAAAAAAAAUGAAAAAAAUAUAUUUGGGGUCUUCGGGCUUCCUGAAGGAAAUACCCAGGUAUUAGGUUAUGGGGCUAGGGAAAGGUUUAAGGUUUUUGGCGUUAGGGUUAAAAUCACUGUCCAAAACCUUUUUAGGAACAUGUUUCAGACCAUUUGGAGUUGGUAACACCAAAAAAAAAUGUAAAAUGAAAAAAAAAUAUUUGUGGUGUUCAAGCUUGCCGAAGGUAAUACCCGGGUAUUAGGCUUUGGGGCUAGGGUAAGGUUUAAGGUUUUUGGUGUUAGGGUUAAAAUCACUGUCCAAAACCUUUGUAGGAACUCUUUUCCAACCUUUUGGAGUUAGUUAGACCAAAAAAAAGAAAAAAGAAAAAAAUAUAUUUGGGGUCUUCGGGCUUCCUGAAGGAAAUACCCAGGUAUUAGGUUAUGGGGCUAGGGUAAAGUUUAAGGUUUUUGGCGUUAGGGUUAAAAUCAAUGUCCAAAACCUUUUUAGGAACAUGUUUCAGACCUUUUGGAGUAGGUUACACCAAAAAAGAAAUAUAAAAUGAAAAAAAAAUAUUUGGGGUGUUCAAGCUUCCUGAAGGUAAUACCCGGCGAUUAGGUUAUGGGGCUAUAGUAAGGUUUAAGGUUUUUGGCGUUAGGGUUAAAAUCACUGUCCAAAACCUUUGUAGGAACUAUUUUCCAACCUUUUGGAGUUAGUUAGACCAAAAAAAAACGAUAAAUGAAAAAAAUAUAUUUGGGGUGUUCGGGCUUCCUGAAGGUAAUACCCGGGUAUUAGGUUUUGGGGCUAGGGUUUGGUUUAAGGUUUUUGGCGUUACAGUUAAAAUAACUGUCCAAUAUUUUUUAAGGAACAUGUUUCAGACCUUUGGGAGUUAGUUAGACAAAGAAAAAAGAAAAAGAAAAAAAUAUAUAUUUGGGGUGUUCGGGUUUCCUGAAGGUAAUACCCGGGUAUUAGGUUAUGGGGCUAGGGUAAGGUUUAAGGUUUUUGGCGUUAGGGUUAAAAUCACUGUCCAAAACCUUUGUAGGAACUCUUUUCAAACCUUUUGGAGUUAGUUAGACCAAAAAAAAAAAAAAUGAAAAAAAUAUAUUUGGGCUCUUCGGGCUUCCUGAAGGAAAUACCCAGGUAUUAGGUUAUGGGGCUAGGGUAAGGUUUAAGGUUUUUGGCGAAAGGGUUAAAAUCACUGUCCAAAACCUUUGUAGGAACAUGUUUCAGACCUUUUGGAGUUGGUUACACCAAAAAAGAAUGUAAAAUGAAAAGAAAAUAUUUGGGGUGUUCAAGCUUCCUGAAGGUAAUACCCGGGUAUUAGGUUAUGGGGCUAUAGUAAGGUUUAAGGUUUUUGGCGUUAGGGUUAAAAUCACUGUCCAAAACCUUUGUAGGAACUAUUUUCCAACCUUUUGGAGUUAGUUAGACAAAAAAAAAGAAAAAGAAAAAAAAAAAUUUGGGGUGUUCGGGCUUCCUGAAGGUAAUACCCGGGUAUUAGGUUUUGGGGCUAGGAUUAGGUUUAAGGUUUUUGGUGUUAGGGUUAAAAUCACUGUCCAAAACCUUUGUAGGAACUCUUUUCCAACCUUUUGGAGUAAGUUAGACCAAAAAAAAACGAAAAAUGAAUAAAAAUAUUUGGGGUGUUCGGGCUUCCUGAAGGUAAUACCAAGGUAUUAGGUUAUGGGGCUAGGGUAAGGUUUAAGGUUUUUGGCGUGAGGGUUAAAAUCACUGUCCAAAACCUUUUUAGGAACAUGUUUCAGACCUUUUGGAGUUGGUUACACCAAAAAAAAAGUAAAAUAAAAAAAAGAAUUUUUUUGGGGUGUUCGGGCUUCCUGAAGGUAAUACUAGGCUUCUGGGCUAGGGUAAUGUUUUAGGUUUUUGGCGUUAGGGUUAAAAUCAAUGUCCAAAACCUUUGUAGGAACUCUUUUCCAACCUUUGAGAGCAAGUUAGACCAAAACAAAAAGAAAAAUAAAAAUUAUAUAUUUGGGGUGUUCGGUCUUCCUGAAGGUAAUACCCGGGUAUUAGGUUAUGGGGCUAGGGUAAGGUUUAAGGUUUUUCAGCGUGAGGGUAAAAAUCACUGUCCAAAACCUUUGUAGGAACUCUUUUCCAACCUUUGGGAAUAAGUUAGACAAAAAAAAUAAGAUAAAUGAAAAAAAUAUAAUUGGGGUGUUCGGGCUUCCUGAAGGUAAUACCCGGGUAUUAGGUUUUGGGGCUAGGGUUUGGUUUAAGGUUUUUGGCGUUAGGGUUAAAAUAACUGUCCAAUAUUUUUAAAGGAACAUGUUUCAGACCUUUGGGAGUUAGUUAGACAAAGAAAAAAGAAAAAGAAAAAAAUAUAUAUUUGGGGUGUUCGGGUUUCCUGAAGGUAAUACCCGGGUAUUAGGUUAUGGGGCUAGGGUAAGGUUUAAGGUUUUUGGCGUUAGAGUUAAAAUCAGUGUCCAAAACCUUUUUAGGAACAUGUUUAAGACCGUUUAGAGUUGGUUACACCAAAAAAAAAAUGUAAAAUGAUAAAAAAAUAUUUGGGGUGUUCGGGCUUCCUUAAGGUAAUACCCGGGUAUUAGGUUUUGGGGCUAGGGUAAGGUUUAAGGUUUUUGGUGUUCGGGUUAAAAUCACUGUCCAAAACCUUUGUAGGAACUCUUUUCCAACCUUUUGGAGUUAGUUAGACCAAAAAAAAAAAAAUGAAAAAAAUAUAUUUGGGCUCUUCGGGCUUCCUGAAGGAAAUACCCAGGUAUUAGGUUAUGGGGCUAGGGUAAGGUUUAAGGUUUUUGGCGUUAGGGUUAAAAUCACUGUCCAAAACCUUUUUAGGAACAUGUUUCAGACCUUUUGGAGUUGGUUACACCAAAAAAAAAUGUAAAAUGAAAAGAAAAUAUUUGGGGUGUUCAAGCUUCCUGAAGGUAAUACCCGGGUAUUAGGUUAUGGGGCUAUAGUAAGGUUUAAGGUUUUUGGCGUUAGGGUUAAAAUCACUGUCCAAAACCUUUGUAGGAACUAUUUUCAGACCUUUUGGAGUUGGUAACACCAAAAAAAAAUGUAAAAUGAAAAAAGAAUAUUUGGGGUGUUCAAGGCUUCCUGAAGGUAAUACC